rnacentral:misc_RNA from 1 species
GGAGUGGAUGCGCUCCGUCGCCAAGGAGUUCAACCUCGCCCAGACCGUCUUCCUAUCACGUGCUACCGCGGGAUCGCCGGACAACCACCAUCCUCGCUUCAAUCUCCGGUGGUUCACCCCCGUUGACGAGAUGGAGCUUGCUUCAGGAAUGGAAGUUGCUGAUAUACAACCAAACUUUAAUGAAAUACAACAGUCUGCUGGUAGAGGUAUCAUCGUUACAGGGCCAGCCCCAAGAGAUUCUGGUUUUGAUUUCUUCUCUCGUUUCUUCUGUCCAAAAUUAGGUGUCAAUGAGGAUCCGGUUUGUGGG